rnacentral:rRNA from 1 species
UACGAACUGUGCGAACGUUAUUCGGAAUCACUGGGCUUAAAGGGUGCGUAGGCGGCUGCCUAAGUCAGGUGUGAAAUCUCCCGGCUCAACCGGGAAACUGCGCUUGAUACUGGGCGGCUCGAGUGAGGUAGGGGUGUGUGGAACUUCCGGUGGAGCGGUGAAAUGUGUAGAUAUCUGGAGGAACACCGGUGGCGAAGGCGGGUCUCUGGGCCGUAACUGACGCUGAGGAGCGAAAGCGUGGGGAGCGAACAGG